UCAUGCAUCCAGUUGGUACCCACCAU
rnacentral:piRNA from 1 species